rnacentral:rRNA from 1 species
GAUAUUUUUACGAGAGUUUGAUCCUGGCUCAGGAUGAACGCUGGCGGCGUGCUUAACACAUGCAAGUCGAGCGAAGCACUUUGGUUUGAUUCUUCGGAUGAAGACCUUUGUGACUGAGCGGCGGACGGGUGAGUAACGCGUGGGUAACCUGCCUCAUACAGGGGG